AUAUGUUGUGAGUUCGAUGAGUAGGGCGGGACACGUGACAUCCUGUCUGAAUAUGGGGGGACCAUCCUCCAAGGCUAAAUACUCCUGACUGACCGAUAGUGAACCAGUACCGUGAGGGAAAGGCGAAAAGAACCCCGGCGAGGGGAGUGAAAUAGAACCUGAAACCGUGUACGUACAAGCAGUGGGAGCCUCUUUUAUGGGGUGACUGCGUA
rnacentral:ncRNA from 1 species